GCGGUAGCACAGGAGAGCUUGCUCUCUGGGUGACGAGCGGCGGACGGGUGAGUAAUGUCUGGGAAACUGCCUGAUGGAGGGGGAUAACUACUGGAAACGGUAGCUAAUACCGCAUGACCUCGCAAGAGCAAAGUGGGGGACCUUCGGGCCUCACGCCAUCGGAUGUGCCCAGAUGGGAUUAGCUAGUAGGUGGGGUAAUGGCUCACCUAGGCGACGAUCCCUAGCUGGUCUGAGAGGAUGACCAGCCACACUGGAACUGAGACACGGUCCAGACUCCUACGGGAGGCAGCAGUGGGGAAUAUUGCACAAUGGGCGCAAGCCUGAUGCAGCCAUGCCGCGUGUGUGAAGAAGGCCUUAGGGUUGUAAAGCACUUUCAGCGAGGAGGAAGGCGYUGYAGUUAAUAGCUGCAGCGAUUGACGUUACUCGCAGAAGAAGCACCGGCUAACUCCGUGCCAGCAGCCGCGGUAAUACGGAGGGUGCAAGCGUUAAUCGGAAUUACUGGGCGUAAAGCGCACGCAGGCGGUUUGUUAAGUCAGAUGUGAAAUCCCCGAGCUUAACUU
rnacentral:rRNA from 1 species